CUGCCAAGCUUACCUGCUGCUUAACUCUGUGAACACAAUCAUAAUAGCUCCUAGUUAAAGGAGCACAUUUCAAAAUAUCAUUACCAUGCUCCUUGUAGCAUGCCCNNNNNNNNUCACCCAAACAGGGCAUAGGCUUCUGAUAUGGAAGCUUAAAUUCCUUAUCAUGAAGAUCCUUGGCCCUUUCUGUUACUGCUUGCAGCAUGCCAUCUUCCUGCUUCUGCAACUUUGCCAAAACUCUUUCACUUUCUUGAAGGACAGAU
rnacentral:misc_RNA from 1 species